AGAGUUUGAUCAUGGCUCAGAACGAACGCUGGCGGCAUGCUUAACACAUGUAAGUCGAACGCUCGUAGCAAUACGUGAGUGGCAGACGGGUGAGUAACGCGUGGGAACGUACCCCAAGGUUCGGAAUAACGAUUGGAAACGAUCGCUAAUACCGCAUAAGCUCGAGAGAGGAAAGGAUUACCGCCUUGGGAGCGGCCCGCGUUAGAUUAGGUAGUUGGUGGGGUAAAGGCCUACCAAGCCUACGAUCCAUAGCUGGUCUGAGAGGAUGAUCAGCCACACUGGGACUGAGACACGGCCCAGACUCCUACGGGAGGCAGCAGUGGGGAAUAUUGGACAAUGGGGGAAACCCUGAUCCAGCAAUGCCGCGUGAGUGAUGAAGGCCUUCGGGUUGUAAAGCUCUUUUACCUGUGACGAUAAUGACGGUAGCAGGAGAAUAAGUCCCGGCUAACUUCGUGCCAGCAGCCGCGGUAAUACGAAGGGGACUAGCGUUGUUCGGAAUUACUGGGCGUAAAGGGCGCGUAGGCGGUUUUGUGCGUUAGAUGUGAAAGACCUGGGCUUAACCUGGGAAGUGCAUUUAAUACGGCAAAACUAGAGGUCGAGAGAGGAAAGUGGAAUGAUCCAUGUAGAGGUGAAAUUCGUAGAUAUGCAUUGGAACACCAGUGGCGAAGGCGACUCUCUGGCUCGUAACUGACGCUAAGGCGCGAAAGCGUGGGGAGCAAACAGGAUUAGAUACCCCCGUAGUCC
rnacentral:rRNA from 1 species